UUGAAGCUGAAUUUGAAUUGUUGAUUGUAGGAACUAAUUGGUUGAAGCUUUCACCUCACUAUUUCAAGAAGCAUUAAACACAACAAUAAAAGCAAAUCAGGAAUUCUUCAAUUCAUCGAAGUGAUCCACUAAAAUAAAAACUCAAUUCCAUAGACUUGCACCUAAAAACCUACCAAUGAUCAAAUCCAACACAAAUCUCAUUUCUCAAAUCAAAAUACAGAUCAAAAUUGAAAAGGAUGAGUAGAAAAUAAAAAACGUUAACGGUUAACCUUUUGGAGAUGGAAACAACGAGAAUCAUGAAUGAGAACCAAAGCGAGAAGUGAAGAGAAAGCGAUAUAUCUCAAAAACGCAAUGGAGUUUGGGAUCUAGAUUUGUUUUGAGAUAUAAGGAAAACAUGAAGAGGAAGAAGUCAAGUCGUGAUCAGAGAGAGAAAAUUUG
rnacentral:lncRNA from 1 species